rnacentral:rRNA from 1 species
GAUGAACGCUAGCGACAGGCUUAACACAUGCAAGUCGAGGGGCAUCAUGAGGUAGCAAUACCUUGAUGGCGACCGGCGCACGGGUGAGUAACGCGUAUGCAACCUGCCUGAUACCGGGGUAUAGCCCAUGGAAACGUGGAUUAACACCCCAUAGUACUUUUAUCCUGCAUGGGAUGUGAGUUAAAUGUUUAAGGUAUCGGAUGGGCAUGCGUCCUAUUAGUUAGUUGGCGGGGUAACAGCCCACCAAGACGAUGAUAGGUAGGGGUUCUGAGAGGAAGGUCCCCCACAUUGGAACUGAGACACGGUCCAAACUCCUACGGGAGGCAGCAGUGAGGAAUAUUGGUCAAUGGACGAGAGUCUGAACCAGCCAAGUCGCGUGAGGGAAGACUGCCCUAUGGGUUGUAAACCUCUUUUAUAAGGGAAGAAUAAGUUCUACGUGUAGAAUGAUGCCUGUACCUUAUGAAUAAGCAUCGGCUAACUCCGUG